CUGGGGCUGGGUGCUGCAGAGCUGGCAUCACUCUGAUCCUAGCUGGAGGAGAGCUGCACGGGCUCAUUCACUGCCUGUGCCUGCCGAGCAGAACCUCCUCGUGCCCAGGGUCCUGCAAAUGACUGAGCCAUCGAGGAGGAAACAUGCUGCACACAGAUAUGCCAAGCUAUCGAUGCCUGCCAAAGUGGAUACUGCACAUUACAUAUUGCAAGCAUAUUCAGAUAACACCUAUAACUCCACAAAAGCAUUGGUGCUUUAUUCUACUGCAGAGGCAGAAAAUUACAGAGACAUCCACCUCCAACGCUCGUCAUAAUCUGGGACUUCACUGAAGCUGGAGCAAAGACUGUGAAGAGAAGAAAGAUGCAGUAACAGUAACUACAGGAAGGUGAAAGAGCAAAGAAUGACUGUGUGGUGGAAGGUGCAACCUAAAGUGUUCAAGUCUGUCCUUUACUUGAUUUAAAGUGAAGAUUAGAACGUCGGUCUUCAACAUCCAGAGAGAAGACCUAAAAUUUAGACUGAAAUAAUGCCUAAUAAUUUUUUUUCUGCCGUACAAGAGAUGGAUGGAAACAUAAACAAGAAGAACUAGUAGCCAAGUAAUGUGGAACAGUUACUGGAAUGUUGCACAAAAACCAUAAUAUAGAGCGGUAUGUAAGUCUGCCACAGUCCUGGGAAGGGCCCUCAUUAAAAUAUUUUUUAUGUUAUGCUGCAGAACUUGCUUUUCAUAUGAAACACUUGGAGAAUCUGGCUUAUGACCCAAGACAAAAUGAGAAAAAAAUAUGAAAUAUCCCAAAAUGUUGUAAUGUAGGAGAAUCACAUCCUGCACACCUUUACACUAGGAGAAUUGAAGGAUUUGUGACACUUGUGAAUCCAUGCUCCAGAAUGGACAUCUGCACACUGGAAAACACUGAUCCUUUUUAAAAUUUGAUUUUUGCCUUGAAGCCUGUCCAGAAGCACAGAAACGGAAUUGUCCAAAGGUCACUCAAAAUUGUAUCAACAAGUGACAAAUCUUUGGCAGUGAAAUGUUGAUUUUAUGGAAGGUGAUUGCAGACACCAAUGCCUCAGUUUCUUAGUGUGUUGUACAUAAAAAGAGCAAAAUUCAUUUGCAUAGUCAAGUUUAUGUACCUGGAAAUGUGAAUGAGUUGGAAAUAUAUCUACUGAUGCGAUACCAACAUGAAGCUUUCAAGGGCUGAUUUUCAGUACACAUACAGUGAAAAUAAACUUAUAUUUGAGGGUUAAGGAAGUCAAUAAAGUUUAAGUUUAUAAGACUUGUUGAUAACAGGACUAUGCUAAGUGAAGUUGCAGGAAACAUUGGAAUGCUUUUAAUAAAUUGUAUCAUUUUAGACUUAGACCUCAAUGAAAUGUCUCACUGAAUUUCACAGAAAUUGUGUAAAAAUAGCAGAAGCAAAAUAAGUUCUUAGAAAUGUAAAAUAAAGAGAGAAAUAAAGAAUUUAAACCACCUGAAACAGGUUGCUGAACUGACUAAAUCACCAUUCUUGGAUGAUGUCACCAAAGUAGAUGAACACAGAUCUAUAAUAAACUUCAUAUCAAUAAUAGAUUUUGCACUAGAGAUUGUGAUUUU